UAACAUUCCUUUUCUCAAAAAUGGACGGCAAAGUCGACUUUGCCGGUUAAAAAAUAGGUCGCCAAUCUCGAUUUCAGGACUGCAAUGUUGCAUACAAAUUCCAUUAUUUGUCGA